UAGGAUAUGGGGUCGCAUUGCUUUCACCACCAGUCUGGUGCCAUUGCACAGGCGAAGUGGAUCCAGAUUCUUGAGCAGCAUGAUUGUGGCCCCCUUUUUAAGUGUUAAAUGGUGAGGUGGCAUCCCAGAUGUUUGCAGAUAGUUCAGGAACUCAGUUGGAAAAACUACAACCUGGUCCUGAUCAAUGACAUGUUGAUGGAUUGAAAGA